UCCUUUUGCCCUCUCUCUCUCUUCCUCCCCACUUUCCAUUUGAUUUCCUCUAAUUUCUUUAUGAAGAAAUCAAUCUCAUGUUAUUCUUGAAAUUAUAGAGUUUGCGUUUGUGAAUCUAUCCUCCUCUAUUAUCACCGAAACCCUAGCUUCCCCCGUCGGAUACUUGACGGAGCCUAGGGUUUUAUCGGUUGCAAAAAUGCGUCCUCCGACGAGAUUCCUUCAGCAACUGGAGCAUGGCGGAAUUUUAGGUGGUUGAGAUUCAGGGAAUAAAUUCUCAAGGCGUUGUUACUGACGAAGUUUAUGUGCACUCUCUUGUCAUUGCCGACUCCUGCAUCUCCACAUCCUAGAGGGCGAUCAAACCUUGCCACUGAAGGAGCAUUUUCCAGUUACGUGUUAUGGAAACUGCUUCUAGUUGACUAUGGUUAUCCAGGGAGAAGUACCAUUUAAGCAGGUUAGAUAUGUGCAUGUAUACUUGAUUUUUUUUCUUUUUACAACAACUUUUUUUUUACUGCAGUAGUAUUGAAAGAGACGAAGAAAGGAUUAGAUACAAUUACAAAUCAAGUUCAAGAUAUAACAUUCAAGGCGAGCUCUUAUUAGAUCGUAUCAAGGGUAGCCAUUCCAAAUCAUCAUUAGAUAAUGCGAGUUUGUUUAAGAAUUAUGCCUGAUGUUUCAUUCCGUAUAUUAUCUUUUCAAGCAUGGCACUAAACUCUAUUAUUCAUUCAAUCUAAUUUUCUUAUAAAGAGAGAUAUGAAAUUAAUUUGAAAAUAUUUAAGCCUGUGUUUGAAAACAGGGUUUGGCCUGCUGAAUUGGGUGUUGGUCUAAGUCGGGCUGUUGGUGCCUACUCCUCAAAAGAGCAAUUAUGAACGAGAUUAAGUCUAUGCUCCUGGAUUAGAUAUUAUAUGUUGUAGAGCUUAUAGAUGCGACUACAGAAAAUGAAGAACGGUUGUAUGAAAUAGCUCAAUGACAUUAUAAGUUUUGUGGGAAGUAAUUGUAUACAGAAUAAUGUAAAAGUUAAUUAUAAAUGUAUAUGGGUUUAAAAUUAUUGGUGUAAACGAAGGUACAUAAUAAAAUUAUUAUUGAAAAUUUA